AGACCCGAAACCCGGUGAUCUAGCCAUGGGCAGGUUGAAGGUUGGGUAACACUAACUGGAGGACCGAACCGACUAAUGUUGAAAAAUUAGCGGAUGACCUGUGGCUGGGGGUGAAAGGCCAAUCAAACCGGGAGAUAGCUGGUUCUCCCCGAAAGCUAUUUAGGUAGCGCCUCGUGAACUCAUCUCCGGGGGUAGAGCACUGUUUCGGCUAGGGGGCCAUCCCGGCUUACCAACCCGAUGCAAACUGCGAAUACCGGAGAAUGUUAUCACGGGAGACACACGGCGGGUGCUAACGUCCGUCGUGAAGAGGGAAACAACCCAGACCGCCAGCUAAGGUCCCAAAGUCAUGGUUAAGUGGGAAACGAUGUGGGAAGGCCCAGACAGCCAGGAUGUUGGCUUAGAAGCAGCCAUCAUUUAAAGAAAGCGUAAUAGCUCACUGGUCGAGUCGGCCUGCGCGGAAGAUGUAACGGGGCUAAACCAUGCACCGAAGCUGCGGCAGCGACACUUUAGUGUUGUUGGGUAGGGGAGCGUUCUGUAAGCCGUUGAAGGUGUCCUGUGAGGGGUGCUGGAGGUAUCAGAAGUGCGAAUGCUGACAUAAGUAACGAUAAAGCGGGUGAAAAGCCCGCUCGCCGGAAGACCAAGGGUUCCUGUCCAACGUUAAUCGGGGCAGGGUGAGUCGACCCCUAAGGCGAGGCCGAAAGGCGUAGUCGAUGGGAAACGGGUUAAUAUUCCCGUACUUGGUGUUACUGCGAAGGGGGGACGGAGAAGGCUAUGUUGGCCGGGCGACGGUAGUCCCGGUUUAAGCGUGUAGGUGUGUGUUCCAGGCAAAUCCGGUUCACUUUAACACUGAGGCGUGAUGACGAGGCACCACGGUGCUGAAGCAACAAAUGCCCUGCUUCCAGGAAAAGCCUCUAAGCAUCAGGUAACAUCAAAUCGUACCCCAAACCGACACAGGUGGUCAGGUAGAGAAUACCAAGGCGCUUGAGAGAACUCGGGUGAAGGAACUAGGCAAAAUGGUGCCGUAACUUCGGGAGAAGGCACGCUGACACGUAGGUGAAGUGAUUUACUCACGGAGCUGAAGUCAGUCGAAGAUACCAGCUGGCUGCAACUGUUUAUUAAAAACACAGCACUGUGCAAACACGAAAGUGGACGUAUACGGUGUGACGCCUGCCCGGUGCCGGAAGGUUAAUUGAUGGGGUCAGCGCAAGCGAAGCUCCUGAUCGAAGCCCCGGUAAACGGCGGCCGUAACUAUAACGGUCCUAAGGUAGCGAAAUUCCUUGUCGGGUAAGUUCCGACCUGCACGAAUGGCGUAAUGAUGGCCAGGCUGUCUCCACCCGAGACUCAGUGAAAUUGAACUCGCUGUGAAGAUGCAGUGUACCCGCGGCAAGACGGAAAGACCCCGUGAACCUUUACUAUAGCUUGACACUGAACAUUGAGCCUUGAUGUGUAGGAUAGGUGGGAGGCUUUGAAGCGUGGACGCCAGUCUGCGUGGAGCCGACCUUGAAAUACCACCCUUUAAUGUUUGAUGUUCUAACGUGGACCCGUAAUCCGGGUUGCGGACAGUGUCUGGUGGGUAGUUUGACUGGGGCGGUCUCCUCCUAAAGAGUAACGGAGGAGCACGAAGGUUGGCUAAUCCUGGUCGGACAUCAGGAGGUUAGUGCAAUGGCAUAAGCCAGCUUGACUGCGAGCGUGACGGCGCGAGCAGGUGCGAAAGCAGGUCAUAGUGAUCCGGUGGUUCUGAAUGGAAGGGCCAUCGCUCAACGGAUAAAAGGUACUCCGGGGAUAACAGGCUGAUACCGCCCAAGAGUUCAUAUCGACGGCGGUGUUUGGCACCUCGAUGUCGGCUCAUCACAUCCUGGGGCUGAAGUAGGUCCCAAGGGUAUGGCUGUUCGCCAUUUAAAGUGGUACGCGAGCUGGGUUUAGAACGUCGUGAGACAGUUCGGUCCCUAUCUGCCGUGGGCGCUGGAGAAUUGAGGGGGGCUGCUCCUAGUACGAGAGGACCGGAGUGGACGCAUCACUGGUGUUCGGGUUGUCAUGCCAAUGGCACUGCCCGGUAGCUAAAUGCGGAAAAGAUAAGUGCUGAAAGCAUCUAAGCACGAAACUUGCCCCGAGAUGAGUU
rnacentral:rRNA from 1 species